UACGUAGGGUGCGAGCGUUAAUCGGAAUUACUGGGCGUAAAGGGUGCGCAGGCGGCUCCGCAUGUCGGGCGUGAAAUCCCCGGGCUUAACCUGGGAAUUGCGUCCGAAACUAUGGAGCUGGAGUGUGGCAGAGGGAGGUGGAAUUCCACGUGUAGCGGUGAAAUGCGUAGAGAUGUGGAGGAACACCGAUGGCGAAGGCAGCCUCCUGGGCCAACACUGACGCUCAUGCACGAAAGCGUGGGGAGCAACAGG
rnacentral:rRNA from 1 species